UCCCUACUUACAUCAUUACUACAAUUGUCACAAAUAGGGUUUAAUUUGUGUGUUAAGUUAAUUUUCACAUCAAAAAACAAAGUUAAAAACACUAAACUAGACUCAAAGAAUGCAAAACUAAAAGUUAAAACACUUAAACAAACCUAAGAACCAAAACAGCAACUAGAAGGCUCAAAACUGCCUAAAAACCACUUUUUGGGCAGUUUUGAGCACCUACACUAAUUUGGACGAAAUUUGAUGAAAACUUGAAUCAAAAUAUUUAGAAACACAAAUCAAAACACUUUCUAACUAAUCUAAGACUUCAAAUUAAUGGGGGAUUUUGUUUUGACGAAAAUUAAACUAAAGAAAACAGAUUGGAAAUAGGGCAGAUUGUAAAAACGAUUUUGGUGAAAUAGAUGGUUAAAAGGCUAGUUAGGAGGUUCUUCUCCACACAUGUCACACUUGCAAACAAAACGAUUUUCAGUUGUUCUUCCAAUAAAUUAUAAAGACUCAAUGCCCCGAAUUAACCGUGAAUUGCACUAAUUAACUCUCAGUUUUUCCAGAAUUUAUCAAGUUGGAUGAUUGCAUACGACAACCCAAAACAUUCCCUACAAGUUCCCUACAUGAAUUGCAUAAUAGAGAUACAAGCAAGAAUCAUUACGUUCUAUGAAAAACAUAAGCAUUGACGAAGCAUUUGUUACUAUGAAUUGCAUGAAACUUAUGCUAAGAAUUCAUUCAACACGAUCGUUUUCAAGCGAUCUUCACUACUUGUGAUUAUAAGAUUGUAACUAUUAGGUGAAACUCCCUCAUAAUCUAGCAUCAUAUUCAUGCAUGAAAACUAAGCGUGCACUCUCAAUCAACAUACACAAAUAAGUUAUCAAUCAAAUAGAUGAACGAAUUGAAUCCAUAACUUAUGAAAUAACAACUGAAUUUAAUCGAAUCAAAUUGCAAGCAUGUACAUGGUUUCGAAUCACCCCCCAACUAAGGGGGUUUAGUUCCUCAUACUCACAACACAAAGUUUAUUGAAUUGAAACAUCAAAGACAUAAGAAAGAUUACACCUAAAAUGCCAAAGAAGUCCACUUUGAAAUCUGCACAGAAAGCUCCUCUUUCUUCUUCUCCUUGCUGCGGCAGUGAGGGUUUAGGGGCUGUUGGAUGUAAUUUUUGAUGUAGGAAGGGAAUUAGGAUGGUAUGGGGGUGCGGCAAGGUGUGUGGGUGGUGUAUGGAGGUGUAGGAUGGUGUAUAGAGGUGGAGAAUGGUGGUUGGAAUGGAUGAAGGCUGCGGCAAAGUGGGGAAUAGGGUUUUGACGAAUUUCUGAAUAUGGAGAGGGAGAGCCUGUGCGGCUAGGUGUAAAAUACAUAUAUAUAGACACCUAAAACCCUAAAUAAAUCAGAUUGGGCUAGGGUUAGGUGCGGCUACUUAAGUGGACUAGGGUUAGGGUUUGUAAAAUAGGCUUCUAGGAUGGAAAGGUGCGGCAUGGGCCUAGAAUAACUAAUCAGAUUUUUGCAUGUGAACAAGGCCUAGGUGUGGUUGAUUAAGUGGGCUAGGGUUAGGGUUUAGGUGCGGCAUAGGUCCAAGAGUUAAAGAUGGGUCAUCCAAAAGCCCAAAACCGAGAAUAGAAACUCACGAAAAUGGAAACCUUCAAGAAUAGAAACUUCCAACUUUAGAAACUUUGGUUGCCAAUUCCGAUUUAGGAAAGAUCAACCCAAAAUGGAAACUUUUAGGCUUAGCUUUCCUACUUCAAGUAGGAAACCUCAAAUCUUCAACUCUUCAAUUCCAUCCCAACCUUGUGUUCCAAGCAUGUCCUUUUUAAUCCAAUCUUACAUUUUGCUCCAAAAGCUCCAAAUUGCAUCAUUUCAUGUAAUAUGUCCUUUAAACCUGAAAACACAUGAAAGUAGCUUAAAAGACUACUUUAACGAAGAAAACAAAACAAAGAUGCAUAAGAACUAGCUAACUAAGGCGCAUAAAUAUGCUCCUAUCAAAUAACAACGUAAAUAAACAAGAACAAGCCAACUAAGUCGCCUAAAUAUGCUCCUAUCAACACUCAAAUUAAAACCCUAUGAUGGUAGUAUAUGUAAGUAGCGAUCAUUUUAGGCCGGGGAUUAUGAUGCGAAAAUUAACUUAACACACAAAUUAAACCCUCUUAUUGACAAUUGUAGUAAAGAUGUAAAGAUCGUUCUGGACCGG
rnacentral:lncRNA from 1 species